UUCCGGUUGAUCCUGCCGGACCCGACUGCUAUUUGGGUGAGGAUAAGCCAUGCGAGUUGAAUGGGAUACCUAAAUUUCCCAUGGCAAACUGCUCAGUAACACAUGAUCAACUUGCCCUAUAGAGAAAAAUAACCUCGGGAAACUGAGGAUAAUGUUCCAUAGCUGAAUUGGCUUGGAAAAGUUUUUCAGUAAAAGGGAUAAAAAAAAUGGUUUUUAUCUGCUAUAGGAUAGGAUCGUGUUCGAUUAUGGUUGUUGGUGAGGUAAUGGCUCACCAAGCCGAUAAUCGAUAGGGGCCGUGAGAGCGGGAGCCCCGAGAUGGGUACUGAGACAACGACCCAGGCCUUACGAGGCGCAGCAGGCGCGAAACCUCCGCAAUACACGAAAGUGUGACGGGGUUACCCAAAGUGUUCAUCAUUGAACUGUGGUAGGUGAGUAAUGUUCCCUACUAGAAAGGAGAGGGCAAGGCUGGUGCCAGCCGCCGCGGUAAAACCAGCUCUUCAAGUGGUCGGGAUAAUUAUUGGGCUUAAAGUGUCCGUAGCCGGUUUAGUAAGUUCCUGGUAAAAUCGGGUAGCUUAACUAUCUAUAUGCUAGGAAUACUACUAUACUAGAGGGCGGGAGAGGUCUGAGGUACUACAGGGGUAGGGGUGAAAUCUUAUAAUCCUUGUAGGACCACCAGUGGCGAAGGCGUCAGACUGGAACGCGCCUGACGGUGAGGGACGAAAGCCAGGGGAGCGAACCGGAUUAGAUACCCGGGUAGUCCUGGCCGUAAACGAUGCAUACUAGGUGAUGGCACGGCCAUGAGCCGUGUCAGUGCCGUAGGGAAACCGUUAAGUGUGCCGCCUGGGAAGUACGGUCGCAAGGCUAAAACUUAAAGGAAUUGGCGGGGGAGCACCACAAGGGGUGAAGCCUGCGGUUCAAUUGGAUUCAACGCCGGG
rnacentral:rRNA from 1 species